CCCCGUCGGAAAGAAAUUCCACGCCCAGUGGCCCCAAGGCCUGGGGUAGUGAAGGAUGCCUUCCUGAAGCUGGCAGCUGCCAUAGCAGAAAGAGCACAGGACCUCAGAAAGAUCUAGAGGCCCAGAUGCUGGGCUGGAUUUGCCACUGGCAAGGUCAUAUUGCCUCCUUGAGCUUUUGUUUUGUCACUGGCAGGUGGAGAUAAUGAUCCUGCUCUAUGAUAAGGUAAGGAUAAAUAAUAUAACACACAAUGUCACCCAGCAAAUAGUCAACACUAAUGGACUCUGAAAGCAGUAAGGGCACCAGAAGUCUUGACCUUUGAUGGGUAUGUACAUCAGUAGCUGGCUUCUUCUGUUCCUACCAGUGGGGGGAUUGAGACAGGUCCCGAGGACGGCGGGAGAGCUUGGCUCUCAUUGUGACGCUGUGAUCACAGAAGACCCAUCAUGGAGACGUAGAGUUGCAGUGGGGUGUCUCGCCAUUAGGAUCUGGCCAGUGGGUGAAUGCAGACAAGCGAGCAGGCCUUGGUAAUAGAGACAGAGGAAAUGAAGAGCUGUUGCCAGGACCGCCCAACUGAGAAAAUAUGAACAAGAUGCUUCAUGCCGCUUGAUGAACUCCCAACUCCUGCAGCUCCAGGGAAGGCAGGAAGAUGGGCCACUGUCCCAGGCACUCCCAUAUUUGUUCUCAGCUGGGCUUCACCCGACUGUGGGAAGUCCCUGGCUGUGGUUGCUAUAAUGUCCUGGCUCCCAGGGUUCUAAAUUGCCCCAUUCAAGAGGCAGAGCAACACAGGAGUGAUAUGAAGAGGGCACCAGGUUCUAGACCAGGCUUCCAGCCAACAAGCUAUAUGACCUUGGGUGAGUCCGUUCACCCCUUCAGGAUGUAAUAAGAUUGUUGGACUCCUG